rnacentral:rRNA from 1 species
ACCUUUUGUCUGUCCUAGAAACACUGAUGAAUAAGGGGUGGGCAAGUUCUGGNGUCAGCCGCCGCGGUAAACCAGCACCUCAAGUGGUCAGGAUGAUUAUUGGGCCUAAGCAUCCGUAGCCGGCUCUGUAAGUUUUCGGUUAAAUCUGUACGCUCAACGUACAGGCUGCCGGGAAUACUGCAAAGCUAGGGAGUGGGAGAGGUAGACGGUACUCGGUAGGAAGGGGUAAAAUCCUUUGAUCUAUUGAUGACCACCUGUGGCGAAGGCGGUCUACCAGAACACGUCCGACGGUGAGGGAUGAAAGCUGGGGGAGCAAACCGGAUUAGAUACCCGGGUAGUCCCAGCCGUAAACCAUGCAAACUCAGUGAUGCAUUGGCUUGUGGCCAAUGCAGUGCUGCGGGGAAGCCGUUAAGUUUGCCGCCUGGGAAGUACGUACGCAAGUAUGAAACUUAAAGGAAUUGGCGGGGGAGCACCACAAGGGGUGAAGCCUGCGGUUCAAUUGGAUUCAACGCCGG